AUGGUUUUAAAAAUGGGAGCUUCCCUGCAGACGCUUUCUUCUCGUCUGUCGCCAUGUGAGAUGUACCUUUCACUUUCCUCCAUGAUUGUGAGGCCUCCUUAGCCACAUGGAACUUGACCCCCACCUUUACAAGUGUCUGUAAUUCUCACUAGCAGUAUAUUAGAGGGCAAAAGAUUUGAACAGACACAUCAGAAAAGAAGACAUACAAAUGGCCGCUAAGCACUUGAAAGGAUUCUGAACACCAUUAGUCAUCAGUGAAAUGCAAAUUAAAGCCAUAAUGAAUGGCGCUAUACAUUUUCAGAAUGGCAAGGAUUGAAGACCGAAAAAAAUCAAGCGUUGAGGAGAGUGACAAAUGGGGAGACAGCCGUGGUGCAUGAUCGCCGAAUAAAUACCAUGUGAGGAUACAGCAAGAAGGUGGCCAUCUACAAGCCAAGGAGACAGGCCUCAGAAGAAACCAACCCUUCUUACACCCUGGACUCAGACUUCUAAUCUCCAGAACUUGUUAAUGCACAAGGUCUUGUGUUGAAAAUGUAGAGCCACGAGAUAAAAGCAGCUUGGAUGGCUGACUCAUAUACAAGGACAACUGCCUGAGAGUCACCAGGGCUAUCAAGAAGUUUGCAGAAACAAGAAAUAAACUUUUACUGUUUUAAACUUUUGUGAAUUUUGGGUUUUGUUUAUCACCAAAUAAACCUAGUCUAUUCUGAUUGUUAUAAGUGGUUAAUUUGGGAAGUCAGAUAUAUUUAAAAUUGGCUUACUGCUGUAACAUAUACAGUCCAAAUUACAUAAUGGCUCAAAUGCAAUAGAAGUCUUUUUUUUUUUUGCUCACAUAUCACUUCACUGAGAUUCUGCAUUAAUUGUAAUGAUGAGGGUGAGGGUGUCUUAUAUCAUACAGUUGUUCAGCAACCCAGGAUGACCAACUUUGUAAUAUUUUUUCCCACUGGCUUCUAAAGUUCUCAUAGAUAGUAAAAUUCAUUUGGAAGAAGGAGAAACAGCAUGGAGGAUUGCAGAUGGAGAUUUUUAUGGGAAGGCUUGGAGGUUUGGAGGUUUAAUCGCAUGGAGAGAGAGAGCAUAGAACACGAGAAAUAUACCAAAACAACAGAGGUAAUGACCUCAGCUUUAGAGAUUUCCCAUUUUAUUAUAGUUUUAUUUCCAUUUAGAUAUGUCAUUUAGAUAUUAAGGUGUCACUGUCCAAUAAGGCAGUAUGAACCUGGGUUCUGGAUGAAGACUAGUCGGGAUAUUGUGUCAAUGACAGUAAUUGAAG
rnacentral:lncRNA from 10 species